rnacentral:rRNA from 1 species
UUUAAAUUGAGAGUUUGAUCCUGGCUCAGGAUGAACGCUGGUGGCGUGCCUAAUACAUGCAAGUCGUACGCUAGCCGCUGAAUUGAUCCUUCGGGUGAAGUGAGGCAAUGACUAGAGUGGCGAACUGGUGAGUAACACGUAAGAAACCUGCCCUUUAGUGGGGGAUAACAUUUGGAAACAGAUGCUAAUACCGCGUAACAACAAAUCACACAUGUGAUCUGUUUGAAAGGUCCUUUUGGAUCGCUAGAGGAU